rnacentral:rRNA from 1 species
GUGGGGGAUAUUGCACAAUGGGCGAAAGCCUGAUGCAGCGACGCCGCGUGAGGGAAGACGGCCUUCGGGUUGUAAACCUCUGUCAUUCGGGACGAAAAGAUGACGGUACCGAAGAAGGAAGCUCCGGCUAACUACGUGCCAGCAGCCGCGGUAAUACGUAGGGAGCGAGCGUUGUCCGGAAUUACUGGGUGUAAAGGGAGCGUAGGCGGGAAAGCAAGUUGGAAGUGAAAUGCAUGGGCUUAACCCAUGAGCUGCUUUCAAAACUGUUUUUCUUGAGUGAAGUAGAGGCAGGCGGAAUUCCUAGUGUAGCGGUGAAAUGCGUAGAUAUUAGGAGGAACACCAGUGGCGAAGGCGGCCUGCUGGGCUUUAACUGACGCUGAGGCUCGAAAGCGUGGGUAGCAAACAGGAUUAGAAACCCUAGUAGUCC